rnacentral:piRNA from 1 species
CUCAGGACCUCUGGAAGACUAGCC